rnacentral:other from 1 species
GAUUUCCUGAGAUGUGCGUAAAGCUUAUGAUAUUCAACCUACAUGAUAUUAUCGGGAUUUGCAAUAGAUUCAUAAAUGUCAGGCUUCAUUUUAUCACUGAUUGUGACGGUAGAAGACAGGAAUGGAUUGCGCUUAACCCACCUGCGAGGCGCAGGACUUGAAUAUAUAGGUGGACGGCAUGUUGGGAGCUAU